AUUGAACGCUGGCGGCAGGCCUAACACAUGCAAGUCGAGCGAGCCGCGCACGGGUGUGUAAUGUAUGUGGCUCUGCCUGAUAGUGGGGGAUAACUACUGGAAACGGUGGCUAAUACCGCAUACUAUCGGAUGUGCCCCUAUGGGCUUGGCUAGUAGGUGGGGUAAAGGCUCACCUAGGCGACGAUCCCUAGCUGGUCUGUGAGGAUGAGCAGCCAAACGGGGACUGAGACACGGAGCAGACUCCUACGGGAGGCAGCAGUGGGGAAUAUUGCACAAUGGGCGCAAGCCUGAUGCAGCCAUGCAGCGUGUAUGAAGAAGGCCUUAGGGUUGUAAAGUACUUUCAGCGGGGAGGCGUUACCCGCAGAAGAAGCACCGGCUAACUCCGUGCCAGCCGCCGCGGUAAUAC
rnacentral:rRNA from 1 species